rnacentral:rRNA from 1 species
UUGACCGCUGGCGGCAUGCUUUACACAUGCAAGUCGCACGGUAACAGGCCGCAAGGUGCUGACGAGUGGCGAACGGGUGAGUAAUGCAUCGGAACGUGCCCAGUCGUGGGGGAUAACUAAUCGAAAGAGUAGCUAAUACCGCAUACGAUCUAUGGAUGAAAGCGGGGGACCGUAAGGCCUCGCGCGAUUGGAGCGGCCGAUGUCAGAUUAGGUAGUUGGUGGGGUAAAGGCUCACCAAGCCAACGAUCUGUAGCUGGUCUGAGAGGAUGACCAGCCACACUGAGACUGAGACACGGCCCAGACUCCUACGGGAGGCAGCAGUGUGGAAUUUUGGACAAUGGGCGCAUGCCUGAUCCAGCAAUGCCGCGUGCAGGAAGAAGGCCUUCGGGUUGUAAACUGCUUUUGUACGGAACGAAACGGCUCUGGUUAAUACCCGGGGCUAAUGACGGUACCGGAAGAAUAAGCACCGGCUGACUACGUG